rnacentral:rRNA from 1 species
AACGUAGGUGGCGAGCGUUAUCCGGAUUUACUGGGCGUAAGACGUGUGCAGCGGGGUGGACAAGAUGGUGUAUGAAAUCUCCGGGCUAAACCUGGAGGGGUUAUGCCAGACUGUCAUUCUAGAGUGCGAGAGAGGGGCGUGGAAUUCCGGGUGUAGUGGUGAAAUGCGUAGAGAUCGGGAGGAACACCAGUGGCGAAGGCGGCUCGCUGGGCCGGUCCUGACACUGAGACGCGAAGGCGUGGGGAGCGAACGGG